rnacentral:rRNA from 1 species
CCUACGGGCAGCUGCAGUGGGGAAUAUUGGACAAUGGGGGCAACCCUGAUCCAGCCAUGCCGCGUGUGUGAAGAAGGCCCUCGGGUUGUAAAGCACUUUCAGUGAGGAAGAACGCCUGGUGGUUAAUACCCAUCAGGAAAGACAUCACUCACAGAAGAAGCACCGGCUAACUCCGUGCCAGCAGCCGCGGUAAUACGGAGGGUGCGAGCGUUAAUCGGAAUUACUGGGCGUAAAGCGCGCGUAGGUGGCUUGAUAAGCCGGUUGUGAAAGCCCCGGGCUCAACCUGGGAACGGCAUCCGGAACUGUCAAGCUAGAGUGCAGGAGAGGAAGGUAGAAUUCCCGGUGUAGCGGUGAAAUGCGUAGAGAUCGGGAGGAAUACCAGUGGCGAAGGCGGCCUUCUGGACUGACACUGACACUGAGGUGCGAAAGCGUGGGUAGCAAACAGGAUUAGAUACCCUGGUAGUC